rnacentral:rRNA from 1 species
UUCGGGCUUUAUUUGCGCAGGAUAGGUGGGAGGCUUUGAGAGUGUUUUUGAGGGAACAUUUGAGCCAUUGGUGAGAUACCACUCUUAUAAAGCUAGAAUUCUAACCUUAUACCGUUAGCCGGUUAAGGAACAGUCUCUGGUGGGCAGUUUGACUGGGGCGGUCGCCUCCUAAAAGGUAACGGAGGCGCACAAAGGUUUCCUCAGAUCGGUCAGAAAUCGAUCGUAGAGCGUAAAGGCAUAAGGAAGCUUGACUGCGAGACCUACAAGUCGAGCAGAGACGAAAGUCGGUCUUAGUGAUCUGACGGUUCCGAGUGGAAGGGCCGUCACUCAACGGAUAAAAGUUACUCUAGGGAUA